rnacentral:rRNA from 1 species
UACAGAGGGUGCAAGCGUUGUCCGGAAUUAUUGGGCGUAAAGAGCGUGUAGGCGGUUCGGUAAGUCUGCCGUGAAAACCUGGGGCUCAACCCCGGGCGUGCGGUGGAUACUGCCGGGCUAGAGGGUGGUAGAGGCGAGUGGAAUUCCCGGUGUAGCGGUGAAAUGCGUAGAUAUCUGGAGGAAUACCGGUGGCGAAGGCGGCAUCCUGGACCGGCAUUGACGCUGAGGAGCGAAAGCUAGGGGAGCAAACGGGG